rnacentral:rRNA from 1 species
CUACGGGUCGCUGCAGUGAGGAAUAUUGCACAAUGGGGGGAACCCUGAUGCAGCAACGCCGCGUGGAGGAUGACGCAUUUCGGUGUGUAAACUCCUUUUAUAUGUCAAGAAAAUGACGGUAGCAUAUGAAUAAGCACCGGCUAACUCCGUGCCAGCAGCCGCGGUAAUACGGAGGGUGAAGCGUUACUCGGAAUCACUGGGCGUAAAGGACGCGUAGGCGGGUUGGAAAGUCAGGUGUGAAGUCCUACAGCUUAACUGUAGAACUGCACUUGAAACUUCUAAUCUAGAGUAUGGGAGGGGAGAUGGAAUUAGUGGUGUAGGGGUAAAAUCCGUAGAUAUCACUAGGAAUACCUAAAGCGAAGGCGAUCUCCUGGAACAUUACUGACGCUAAGGCGUGAAAGCGUGGGGAGCAAACAGGAUUAGAUACCCUGGUAGUC